ensembl:lncRNA LINC02235 long intergenic non-protein coding RNA 2235
GUAGCUGAUGCUCUUGAACCCCUUGACUGAGUCUGUUUUCCUUCUGUGGAGUAUACUUUCAUUUAAAAUAAAUCUCUGCUUUCCAUGCCUUGUUUGUGUGUUCUGUCCAAUUCUUCGUUCAAAACACCAAGAACCUGGACAACUACCCUCAAUUGGUAACAUAUUUUGGUGAGCCAGCCAGAAGUUUCACUCUUGUUGCCCAGGCUGGAGUGCAAUGGUGUGAUUUCAGCUUACUGAAACCUCCACCUCCUAGGUUCAAGAGAUUCUCCUGCCUCAGCUUCCCGAGUAGCUGGAAUUACAGCUUCAGAUCCAAAUGGUAUGCUAGCAUUCUCUUCCUAGCAGUCCACUGUCAAGACUUCACUGUUAGAAGAAGAAUCACACCAGAAUUAAGGUCAAAUGGAUUAUCUUAUUCUUAAUUGCUGAAAAUCACACCUCAUUGAAAUUUGCUUCAUAACUGAACCAUGAAUUUUUCAUCAAACAUACUUUUGUGUUUCUCCUCCUGGCAUUCUUUAUGAGGAACUUCUUUUUGGAGCUCACUGACUUCCUGUUCUAAUUUGGUCCAGUUAUUUUCUAGAAUUGCUACAUGACUGUCAUCCUGGGACAUCCUUCUGUUGGAAUCUGGGAGAGCUUACAACUUUUCAUAUCCUCUCUUCUUCUUUGUGUUUUUCACCCUGAAGUGUACAAAGUCAAAUGAAUUUCCUAGAAAAA